UCAGCAGUUUCUUAAAUAUUCUGACCAGACCUUCUGACAUCAACAACCAUGCCACAAUCAAAGUCACUUGAAAAUGACUUUUGUUCAGUUGAUGCUCAGUUUAACUUCAGCAGGCUGUCCUGAGGAUGUGUACUGGUCUUAAGUGACUUGGGGUCCUGCUUUGUGAUUGGCUGAUUAGGUUUUUCCAUGAUGAGUAGCUGAACAUAUGUACCUGAUAAAGAUGUAGACAGACGGUGCUCAGGGUGAGAGCUGUGCUUCUGCUGAAGUGUCCCAUUGAGUUUGGUGAAGUGGACUUAUCUCCUACCAUCCCCUCUCGCAUCACACUCACUACUGGAUCCAGACAGGGCUGAGUGCCACACUGAUCCUGCCCUCCUCACACCAGAGAGGCCUCUUUCUUCUGGGCUCGGUCCCACACUCAGACCCCCUCAACCUACCGCCGUCCUUACAGUUGUCGGAGUGCUGCAUAUCGCUAAAGAUUUGUCUUUUUUUGUUCACCUGUCAUAUUCCACCUUUUCCCUGAAUGACGCAUGUUGAACCCCUCGGAGAGGCGAGCCGAAGUCGUACCAGCCCUCCUGGCAGUGCUCAGCUCUGGCUCCUGAUUUUGCAGCUGUUCCCUGGAACCCAACUCGAAGCCGGUUUUACCGCCCUUCUAGGGAACGUGGAGCGGCCUGGGAUACAUGCUUCUGAACUUACCCACAGGGAUGUUUCACAAGAGGCCAGCUGGGAAGUCAGUGGGAGCCAAUAGGAAGGUGAGGGGGGUUGAAGGAGAGGGUCAAUACCAGAAUCCGAAGAGAGUUAAGAGAAAGAAUUGGAAUGGGUAACGGAUGGAGAAAGAUUAAAGAAGCUCUGCUUCUGGUUCUGGUUUGUGUGUGAGAAAACCAGAAAAGAUGGUGAGUUAGAUGACGCACUUUUGAUUUUGUUGUCAUAAAUGUAUAAUGACAGCUUCAUUUUUUCACGUUUUUAAGCCAUUUCAUAAGCAUGCAACAGUCAGCAGGACAACAGCUCACUUCAGAAUGCAACCAGAACUUUUCAUAUGUAUCUCCUCUCACUGCGGUGGGAUGGUGGCAGGGUGUCACCUCUGAGCAAGAAGGUCCUCGGUUCAAACUCACUGGCACACUGGAGCCCUUCGGUGUGGACUUUACAUGCUCGCCACCAUGUAAGUGCCCCAACAUGGGGUAACUUUUAUAUGCUUUCACCAUGACUUUUACCUCUACAGUAAAAAAAAUGUGUACUAUAAGCACAAUGAAAUGGACUGGCCUUUUGUAUUCAGUGAAACAAAGCAUUUUUUCCCUUUUCUUUGACUCUGAAUUCAUGCAGACAGGGUUUAUGCACGAUUUAAAAAACAUCACAUUGCAACAAACUGAAACUAAAGUACAUUCAGCUGGUCAAUAAAGAGGGCACGGUUCUACAAUGUGGCCCAUACUGUACUGAUCACAGCUGUGUUAUAUUGCUGGUGAGAGAGCGACCCCUACUGGAAAGUUAUGUCUUUACAAUUUUCAAACAUUCUGAAUUGCUUUGGUGCAAUUCUCAAAUCCUGUGCAUCAUCCUACUGUUAUGACAAUUGUGAAAUAUCAAUUAUUUGCGGGGGGGUUAAUCAAUCCAAUUUUUUAUGACUUAACCAAUCAACUUUUUCCUUAAUGGUAUGACCUCAUUGUUUUGUAUUUCUGACCGAUUAGUAGUAUUAAAAAUUCAAAUGUUUUGGUCCUCCCAGGGACACCAGUGCAUGGGCGUAACUUUGUGCUGAACAUUGGGGUGAAAAACUUUCUGAGAUGUGAACUUCAGAAAUGUGCCAGACAUACAGUCCUGUGAAAAAAAUCUAUUUGCAUGUUUAUAUUUGCCAUAGUCAUUUCCAAUUAUGAUAACUC